CUCAAAUACAACUCUGUUAAAUAGCUUUAUUUUUAUGAAAUUAACAUCACAUUGGCCUUGGCUAAACUUUUUGAAAUAUGCAAGCUGGACGUGAAAACAUUUCAGUUAUUUUCAUAAGUUUUUAUCGAAGUUAAGUUUUAAGCAUUUUAAAUAAUAAUACUCCAAAUUGAUUGUUUUUUUAAUUCAAGCCAUGGCUUCUCUCGAAUCCGUCCUUGUCGCUGGCCUGGUGCAUCUCUUCUUUCGCUUUGCCUUAUAUAUUUCGCCACAGUCCACGUUAAUGACGCCCGGCCCGACAUUGCCCACAAUAAUUGUCGGUGUGGCUAUAUUGGAUCUGAUCUAUGAUUACCGCAUCGUUCCCUUGAGCAUGUGUAAGAGGGCACGGGGCAUCAAGUAUAUUUGUGAGUGUUUGGUGGCAAUCCUUUUCCUGGAGGUGUGCAUGCUAAUAUUCUGGCAUACGAUCGAGCAUCUUGUUUACUUAAUUGUCAAGAUGUUGUUGUUGGGAAUGGAUAUUGUCAGCCUCGAUUACUAUUAUCGACAUGAAACUCUCCUAAUUGGAUCGUUCACAUUGCCGAUAUCUUUGGUGAUUCUGGCCAUGGCAGCGAGGACUACCAACCAUUUAAAGACGCUUUUUCGUCGUUAUAUGUCGCCCCAGACACAUGUCUACCUCCGGUUGGACAAUACGGUUCGCUUUCUGAGACAUACCGAUCGGUACAAGAAUAUUAGGUUCAGAGAGGCUUUCGAGAAAUACAAUUCGGCUGACAACGAUCCCCAACGUAGAUCCGUAUGGGUGAAAUACUUUCAGAAUUAUACGUAGGUAAAAUAUAUACAUGAUUUGGCUUUCAUUAAAUUGUUUUGUACUUUUAUACAAAAGAUUUUUAUUAAAUUACAUAUUACUUGUCAUAUGUGUAUACAUAAUAA